UACGAAGGAUCCUAGCGUUGUCCGGAUUUACUGGGUUUAAAGGGCGCGUAGGCGGUCUUUUAAGUCAGUGGUGAAAGCUUGCAGCUUAACUGUAAAAUUGCCAUUGAAACUGAUUGUCUCGAGUGCGGUUGAGGUCACUGGAAUGUAUCAUGUAGCGGUGAAAUGCUUAGAUAUGAUACAGAACACCAAUUGCGAAGGCAGGUGACUAAGCCGUAACUGACGCUGAGGCUCGAAAGCGUGGGGAUCAAACAGG
rnacentral:rRNA from 1 species